UACAGAGGUCCCAAGCGUUGUUCGGAUUCACUGGGCGUAAAGGGCGCGUAGGCGGUCGGGCAAGUCUGAUGUGAAAUCUCACAGCUUAACUGUGAAACUGCAUUGGAUACUAUUCGGCUUGAGAGUUGGAGGGGGGACUGGAAUUCUUGGUGUAGCAGUGAAAUGCGUAGAUAUCAAGAGGAACACCGAUGGCGAAGGCAGGUCUCUGGGCUGAAACUGACGCUCAUGCACGAAAGCGUGGGGAGCAAACAGG
rnacentral:rRNA from 1 species